AUACGGAGGGCGCAAGCGUUGUUCGGAAUUACUGGGCGUAAAGCGCGUGUAGGCGGUUCGGUAAGUCGGAUGUGAAAUCCCGGGGCUCAACCCCGGAACUGCAUUCGAAACUGCCGGGCUAGAGUCCCGGAGAGGAAGGCAGAAUUCCCAGUGUAGGGGUGAAAUCCGUAGAUAUUGGGAGGAAUACCAGUGGCGAAGGCGGCCUUCUGGACGGUGACUGACGCUGAGACGCGAAAGCGUGGGGAGCAAACAGGAUUAGAAACCCCAGUAGUCC
rnacentral:rRNA from 1 species